AACGAACGCUGGCGGCAUGCCUAACACAUGCAAGUCGAACGAAGCCUUCGGGCUUAGUGGCGCACGGGUGCGUAACACGUGGGAAUCUGCCCUUCGGUUCGGAAUAACAGUUAGAAAUGACUGCUAAUACCGGAUGAUGACGAAAGUCCAAAGAUUUAUCGCCGAAGGAUGAGCCCGCGUAGGAUUAGGUAGUUGGUAGGGUAAUGGCCUACCAAGCCGACGAUCCUUAGCUGGUCUGAGAGGAUGAUCAGCCACACUGGGACUGAGACACGGCCCAGACUCCUACGGGAGGCAGCAGUGGGGAAUAUUGGACAAUGGGCGAAAGCCUGAUCCAGCAAUGCCGCGUGAGUGAUGAAGGCCUUAGGGUUGUAAAGCUCUUUUACCUAGGGAUGAUAAUGACAGUACCUGGAGAAUAAGCUCCGGCUAACUCCGUG
rnacentral:rRNA from 1 species